rnacentral:lncRNA from 1 species
CGGACUCUCACGGGAGCCGGAUCUCGUCGCCGACUUCGGUUGAAGGAAGACUUCGUCCAGACUCCUACGGGAGCUGGACUCCAGGCUCCUCUCAGAUGGGUAGCUAACCACCUUUCUCCGUCAGACACUCCAGCCGACAGGCCUGCACUCCCUGGCGUGCCGUAGUAACGGCCACAACUCUGCUCCACUUCCUGCGAUGGAUCCUACGCAGCUCCAUUACUCUCUGGCAGGCUGCGGUAACGGCCACGAUUUCGCUCCACUCCCUGCGGC